AACGAACGCUGGCGGCACGUUUUAAGCAUGCAAGUCGAAUGGCAGUGGGGGGAACCCCAUGAGAAUGGCGAACGGGUGAGUAACACGUAGGUGAUCUGCCUGACGGAUGGGGAUAGCUUGUGGAAACACAGGGUAAUACCGAAUGAGCUGACGAGACUUUGGUUUUGUUAGUAAAGGUGCUACGGCACCGCCGACAGAGGAGCCUGCGGCUGAUUAGCUAGUUGGUGGAGUAAAGGCCUACCAAGGCGACGAUCAGUAGCCGGCCUGAGAGGGUGUACGGCCACACUGGAACUGAGACUCGGGCCAGACUCCUACGGGAGGCAGCAGCUAAGAAUCUUCCGCAAUGGGCGAAAGCCUGACGGAGCGAUGCCGCGUGAUCGAUGAAGGUCGAGAGAUUGUAAAGAUCUUUUCUACAUGAGGAAUAAGUCUGGGAGGGAAUGCCUGGAUGAUGACGUUAGUGUAGGAAUAAGCCCCGGCUAAUUACGUGCCAGCCGCCGCCGUAA
rnacentral:rRNA from 1 species